rnacentral:lncRNA from 1 species
AAACCUUCUAGAACACAAACAACAUGGGCUUCCCACUGAAAGCUUUAGGGCUACAGCACUGCCAAUCCCAAGCUCUGUGGCUCUGAGAGUGCAGUCAAUCUUCACUUCUUAAAGAUGGCUAAGAGGACAGACUCCCCCGUCCUAGGUCAAUUGUUCCAUCUCACACAGGCACGGGCUACCUCUGAGAGAGCACCUAAAUACACGGCCAGCCCAGAAUGAUAAGCUGCAGCUGAGACAGGUGCAUUUGGGUGCUGCAGGUAACUGGAAAUGGGCAUGUGUGGUCAUCCUGAGCACCACUGUACCAGCGGAGAUGGAUGGUACUGCAGACAGCCCACCUGGGUGCUAGCUGAAGAGGGACAAGCUUCCUCGGCUCAGCGAACCUUGGCUUUGGUCAGAAAGCUGCCCUUCUACCAUACUGAGCAGCAGGGCCCGAAUGACGCCCUUCUCUGGGCUUUCACUGGUCUGAACUCAAGUGCGAGCACAGCCUUUCUAACCCUCCCAUCCCAGUGGCGUCAGGACCAGGCCGGAAGACAGAAUACCUGAGGUCAUCUCCGAUCAAGACUUCACAUUUGUGACUAAUAAUACUUCAGUGUUAAUUAGAGCUCAGCAGAGAAUGCUGAUUGAUUCUGAAUCUGUAAUCUGCAGUGAUUUAGCAACAUCGAGAGAGCUUCAGAACCUCUUCCUGGAACACAGAGGCUCACAUGGCUGACUGCCAUCCAGUACUUUUAGCUCAACAAAGUCUCAAAAGAAGCACAGAUACUGUACCGUGUACUUCAACUUGAGAGAGAAAAAAAAUACCUCAUAUUGAAUUAUUCUUAGUAUAGGAUGGCUGUAGUAGUGUUAUAAAUGCAUAACUACUGUAUUGAAUUGUCCCUAAAAUGUUUAUAGAACAAGUUUGUCUACUGCAAUGAACAUGCACUUCUGCCUAACCU